GAGUUCUCGUUGAUGAUCGGUGCUUGCACCGAGAUUCAACAUGGAACGAGUGGCGGACGGGUGAGUAACACGUGGGUAACCUGCCCUUAAGUGGGGGAUAACAUUUGGAAACAGAUGCUAAUACCGCAUAGAUCCAAGAACCGCAUGGUUCUUGGCUGAAAGAUGGCGUAAGCUAUCGCUUUUGGAUGGACCCGCGGCGUAUUAGCUAGUUGGUGAGGUAAUGGCUCACCAAGGCGAUGAUACGUAGCCGAACUGAGAGGUUGAUCGGCCACAUUGGGACUGAGACACGGCCCAAACUCCUACGGGAGGCAGCAGUAGGGAAUCUUCCACAAUGGACGCAAGUCUGAUGGAGCAACGCCGCGUGAGUGAAGAAGGCUUUCGGGUCGUAAAACUCUGUUGUUGGAGAAGAAUGGUCGGCAGAGUAACUGUUGCCGGCGUGACGGUAUCCAACCAGAAAGCCACGGCUAACUACGUGCCAGCAGCCGCGGUAAUACGUAGGUGGCAAGCGUUAUCCGGAUUUAUUGGGCGUAAAGCGAGCGCAGGCGGUUUUUUAAGUCUGAUGUGAAAGCCCUCGGCUUAACCGAGGAAGCGCAUCGGAAACUGGGAAACUUGAGUGCAGAAGAGGACAGUGGAACUCCAUGUGUAGCGGUGAAAUGCGUAGAUAUAUGGAAGAACACCAGUGGCGAAGGCGGCUGUCUGGUCUGUAACUGACGCUGAGGCUCGAAAGCAUGGGUAGCGAACAGGAUUAGAUACCCUGGUAGUCCAUGCCGUAAACGAUGAAUGCUAGGUGUUGGAGGGUUUCCGCCCUUCAGUGCCGCAGCUAACGCAUUAAGC
rnacentral:rRNA from 1 species